rnacentral:rRNA from 1 species
AGCGAACGCUGGCGGCAGGCCUAACACCUGCAAGUCGAACGAACCCUUCGGGGUCAGUGGCGGACGGGUGAGUAACACGCGGGAACGUGCCGUUAGGUUCGGAAUAACUCAGGGAAACUUGUGCUAAUACCGAAUCGGCCCUUCGGGGGAAAGAUUUAUCGCCUUUAGAGCGGCCCGCGUCUGAUAAGCUAGUUGGUGAGGUAAUGGCACACCAAGGCUACGAUCAGUAGCUGGUCUGAGAGGAUGACCAACAACAUUGGGACUGAGACACGGCCCAAACUCCUACGGGAGGCAGCAGUGGGGAAUCUUGCGCAAUGGGCGAAAGCCUGACGCAGCCAUGCCGCGUGGAUGAUGAAGGUCUUAGGAUUGUAAAAUCCUUUCACCGGUGAAGAUAAUGACUGUAGCCGGAGAAGAAGCCCCGGCUAACUUCGUGCCAGCCGCCGCCGUAACAC